UAAAAAUUGUAGAGUAAGUUUUCUUUUAACUAUCCUAAAAUUUUAUUCCCUUCGUAUCUUAAACCUAUCUGCUUAAACCCAAUAUUUUCGUCUAAUUUCUGAUUCAAUUUCUCCCUUCCUGAACCCUAAAAUCAGUUCCCUCAUCAGUUCCCCUUUCAUUCCAUCCGCUUUCUCCCUCGCAGGUAUGCAAUCUUCCUUUCUUCCUUCUUCUAUUUCCUAUUGUCAUUCAUUUCUUUCAUUUCUCCUUUGGAUUGCCCGUGUUUCCUUUUCCUUUCAGAUUCGCAGUCGGUGGACGAAGCUGCAACGGGGGUUUUGCGGACCGGCAGACAACGGAGCUCAUAACGUCACGAAGGUACAUCGUUCUACAACUCUUUGUGCUUUUAUUUGGUGCAGCGUUUUAUUGAGUUCAUUCUGCAUCACUUUAGUGGGUUAUCUUCUUCCCAGUCUCAAUUGGUGCAGCGUUUUCAUCAACGAGUAUGAAAUUGCUUCUCAGGUCUUUGUAGAUAGCUUUGGCUCUGUCCUGAUAUGGUCCAUUCUCUAAAAAAUUCAUAAAAAGGUAUGAAUGAUAAAAAUUAAAGCAUGUUAUUACUGAGUAUGAAUUUAUGAUAAUUGAUAUGGAGUGUUUACAAGAGGAGCAUAUAUUUUUAGUUUUGAAAUGUGGCUAAAAAGUGGUAGUGCGAGUGAAUGAACGAACCAAUGAAUGAAUAUACAAGGAAGCCAUCAUCGUCACUGUGAGGAACCAAAAGCAACGCAUUAUUCAUAGUUUUCUUUAUGUAUGUAUGUACCUUUUUAUAUCCUCCAUAUAUGUCAAUCUUAUUAGACUUGCAGACUAUAUAUAUAUAUAUAUAUAUAUAUAUAUAUAUAUAUAUAUAUACAUCUCAGUUCUCACCUUUUGGGUUUUCUUCUUAAGUUCCUACUUUCAAUGGUUCAAUUAUAUGUACUCGCUGGCCGCUCUAGAAAUUCAAUGCCCCGAGUUGUUAAUUGUUUGAAGCCAUAGAAUAGGUAGUGAGUCAAUUCUGUACAUCUUCUAUGACACCUUCCACAUUAUUAUGGUCUUCUACAUGUGUCUCUCAUAUUCAUGCUCAUUAAUGAUUUCGUAGACACAUUUUCAUUUAACAUUUUUUCUUUCAACUUGACACUUUUUACUGCUUUACUGUCUACUUGUAUAUCUGCUCUGGAUGCAGAAGAAUCAUAUGGCCCUUCAUGCUUCAUCUAUCAUCUGUGCGCUUCAGAUCACUGACAAGUUUUUUUAGGAUUUUUCCCUUUAAGACUGUAGCCAACUGCUGAUAUUUUGUUUGAUUGAUGAUAUGGACCCAAUGUCACUCAUUUGUCAUUAAGGGCAAAAUUGUCUUUGCAGUGUGUGAAAACUGAUUGAAAAUUGAGUUCCUUUUUCGUUCCGUUGUUCAUUCCUUUGAUUUGCAUGGUCGAGAGGGAGAGAGCGAGCGAUAAAGAAUAAAGAAAAAGAGAACUCCAUGGUUGGCACAGGGACUUAAUCGUUAUCAGCGAAGUGAGAAGCAUCAGAGGUUUGUCCUCACUGUAAUCCUUCCUUCUUUUUAAUUUCUCUGUCUUUGGUUUUCUUUUUUAUUCUUGUUCGAAAGCCCUAGAAAAAAGGGGGCAAGGGUGUGUGACAGAGAGUUAUGUUUUCGGAUUCAGUUUGGAAAACACCAAAUGUUGUAUUUCAUUCGUCUCUGUAUGAGGAUUGACAUUAGUUUUUAUGGAAGGGGGUCAACUUUUUAUUGGGUUAAUUGAAUAAAAUUAAUUUGUUGCUUAGUACAUAGAACCAACAGAUUCAUUAUUUUUCAUGUCAAGUUACCGAGGCAGGAGCACAUACAUUUUUAUGCAUUAUUGUGGCUAGGUUCUUCAGGUUUUAAAUUUCGCAGGCAUGUGUAUGGUGCAUUUUCGUUAUCUUUACUUUCUGUUGUCUAUGUUGUUGAGUUUCAUACUGUUAAUGACAUUUGAUUUAAAUGUUGCUGAGGAUGAUGCACAUUUUCUGCAAGGAGUUCCAUGUGAUUUUAUCUUUAAAUUUAUGUAAGAUAAAUCUUUGUAAACCCUUUUUCCUCUACAACAAAUUUGAUGUCUUUCUAUCCUGCUUCCCAGUUAAGGAGAAGCAUAGAAAGUUUUUUCGAAUCAAUCGUUUUUUUUUUCUUUCAAUUAUAGAUCAGUAUUUCAUGUCUGGGAUACUUCAUUAGAGACCAUAGAAAUACCUAUGAGAUAUUGCAAUCUAGGAUAAAGCUGAAAGUUGUGUUAAAGAAGCUUUAGAUGAUUUUGCCAAGCCUUGGCAGGUAAUUAUGUCCUUUUCUAUAUAUCUUAUAGAAUAUUUCAUGCCAGUGAUAUAUUGUAAAGGAUAUUCUUUUCAUCAUACGGUUAUAAUUAUAAUUACAUUAGAAGUAGUACAGAUUGGAUAUCCAAAAGUAGAGUUAGCCCAUUUCAUCUUCAAUACUAAGAAAAUUCUUUGAUUCCUCUAAACUCACUAAAUAAUUGCCUACCCCAUGUGGUCUCCCCUCCUCCCAUCACAUUUAUCCCACCAUUCUCUCAUCAUGGAAUUUUACUCUUCCUAAUUCCAAGCAACAUGAACCGAAAAACUAUAAAAUCUUAGAAAUGAUAUAUUUAUAUUUGUGUGAAAAAUCAUGAUGUAAUACAUUUAUAACUUUUGUUAUGUCAUUAUAAUUAAAUUUAUAUUUACUGAUGAUGCAAUUAUUGUAAUAAAUGAGUUAGGUUAACUACUUCCUAAAAGUAUGAGUUAUAUAUAUAUAUAUAU
rnacentral:lncRNA from 1 species